rnacentral:rRNA from 1 species
CACGUAGGGCGCAAGCGUUGUCCGGAAUUAUUGGGCGUAAAGAGCUCGUAGGUGGUUUGUUACGUCUGCUGUGAAAACCUAGGGCUUAACCCCGGGUCGCAGUGGAUACGGGCAGGCUAGAGGUAGGUAGGGGAGAAUGGAAUUCCCGGUGUAGCGGUGAAAUGCGCAGAUAUCGAGGAGACACGUGGCGAAGGCGGUGUCUG